UACGUAGGGUCCGAGCGUUGUCCGGAAUUACUGGGCGUAAAGCGCGCGCAGGCGGUCCUUUAAGUCUGAUGUGAAAGCCCACGGCUCAACCGUGGAGGGUCAUUGGAAACUGGGGGACUUGAGUACAGAAGAGAAGAGUGGAAUUCCACGUGUAGCGGUGAAAUGCGUAGAGAUGUGGAGGAACACCAGUGGCGAAGGCGACUCUUUGGUCUGUAACUGACGCUGAGGCGCGAAAGCGUGGGGAGCAAACAGG
rnacentral:rRNA from 1 species